UGGCUCAGAUUGAACGCUGGCGGCAUGCCUUACACAUGCAAGUCGAACGGCAGCACGGGAGCAAUCCUGGUGGCGAGUGGCGAACGGGUGAGUAAUAUAUCGGAACGUGCCCAGUCGUGGGGGAUAACGUAGCGAAAGCUACGCUAAUACCGCAUACGAUCUAUGGAUGAAAGUGGGGGAUCGCAAGACCUCGCGCGAUUGGAGCGGCCGAUAUCAGAUUAGGUAGUUGGUGAGGUAAAGGCUCACCAAGCCGACGAUCUGUAGCUGGUCUGAGAGGACGACCAGCCACACUGGGACUGAGACACGGCCCAGACUCCUACGGGAGGCAGCAGUGGGGAAUAUUGGACAAUGGGCGAAAGCCUGAUCCAGCAAUGCCGCGUGAGUGAUGAAGGCCUUAGGGUUGUAAAGCUCUUUUACCCGGGAUGAUAAUGACAGUACCGGGAGAAUAAGCUCCGGCUAACUCCGUG
rnacentral:rRNA from 1 species